rnacentral:lncRNA from 1 species
GUAUUACACCUUUACCACGUACAUUAUUAUUCCAAGCUCUCAAAAGAAUCCUCAACACAAACCCAGGAAACAGGUGCAGUCUUUAUUUUGCAAAUGAGGAGACUGAAGCACAAAGAGGGUGUGGCUUUCAGCCCUUGCUGUUCUUGUACUGAUCACUUGCCAUACAGGCAUAUCAGGCAGGACAUAGAACCUAGAGGCCACUGAGACCAGUAGCCGGGAGGAGAAAUAUAUAUUUUAAAAUGCACGGAAGACACAGAGAAGAAAACAAGGCUACCCAAAUCUGACGAUGCAGCCUCUUCUGGGAAGCAUGAUUUGUCUCCAAGACUGACCUCCUUCCAGUGCGUGUCCUUGGUGUGUGGACCACCAUCCAAGUAUUUAUUGAGAAGACACUAUGUCUUAGGCCCUUUGCCUGGUGUUGAAAAUGCAGCUGGGAUCAAGACAGACACAUCACUUUAUGAGAUGGGAGAAAACAACCAUUUCCACUGGAGUCAGGUAAAGACUGCAGUUUUUCUGCCAAGAAAAGAAAAGAUUACAGAGGGAAAAAAAAGAAGACAGGAGGAUCCUUUGUUCUUGAAAAGAGACUUGAGAAAUUACUGCCUCACAACAUCACACAGCUGUUUUAAACAACAUCUGAUGGAAUUGUUGCUGGUUGUAUUAAAAAAUAAUUGAGGAGGUUUUUCCCUUUUUUGUGUAAAAGUGAUCCUAUUUCUUCUAUAAAUGUUUAAGAGAAUUUAUGGCAAAGCCAUCU